AGUGAACGCUGGCGGUAGGCCUAACGCAUGCAAGUCGAACGGCAGCACAGUAAGAGCUUGCUCUUACGGGUGGCGAGUGGCGGACGGGUGAGGAGUACAUCGGAAUCUACUUUUUCGUGGGGGAUAACGUAGGGAAACUUACGCUAAUACCGCAUACGACCUACGGGUGAAAGCAGGGGAUCUUCGGACCUUGCGCGAUUGAAUGAGCCGAUGUCGGAUUAGCUAGUUGGCGGGGUAAAGGCCCACCAAGGCGACGAUCCGUAGCUGGUCUGAGAGGAUGAUCAGCCACACUGGAACUGAGACACGGUCCAGACUCCUAAGGGAGGCAGCAGUGGGGAAUAUUGGACAAUGGGCGCAAGCCUGAUCCAGCCAUACCGCGUGGGUGAAGAAGGCCUUCGGGUUGUAAAGCCCUUUUGUUGGGAAAGAAAAGCAGCAGGUUAAUACCCCGCUGUUCUGACGGUACCCAAAGAAAAAGCACCGGCUAACUUCGUG
rnacentral:rRNA from 1 species